rnacentral:misc_RNA from 1 species
GCAUCAUCUCCGAUCUGCAAGAGAAGGACUUCCAGCUGCAGGCUGACAUCAUAUUGAAGAGGGCGGAAGGAUUCAAGGUUAGGCUCGAACCGAGGAAGCCCAUGGCCAAAGCUCACUAAGUGAUUCCAUUGAUAAGAACUCUGUUCAAACAAAUGUUAUAAUUUAUGUUGUAAUAUAUUUUAUAUUUAUAUGAUUGUGCAAAGGAAAAUAUGUGUAUAUAUG